GCGCCUGUACCUCAAUUGGAUAGAGGGGCGGCCUACGAAGCCGACCGUUGUGGGUUCAAGUCCCGCCAGGCGCG
rnacentral:tRNA from 1 species